GGGCGGUGGCGGCUGGGGUCAACCCCAUGGUGGUGGUUGG
rfam:Equus caballus prion protein (PRNP) gene, partial cds.